UACGAGGGGGGCGAGCGUUGUUCGGAAUUAUUGGGCGUAAAGGGUGCGUAGGCGGUUUUGUAGGUCUUAUGUGAAAUCUAUGGGCUCAACUCAUAGACUGCAUGAGAAACUGCAGGGCUUGAGUAUGGGAGAGGUGAGUGGAAUUCCUGGUGUAGCGGUGAAAUGCGUAGAUAUCAGGAGGAACACCUGUGGCGAAAGCGGCUCACUGGACCAUAACUGACGCUGAUGCACGAAAGCUAGGGGAGCAAACAGG
rnacentral:rRNA from 1 species